rnacentral:RNase_P_RNA from 2 species
GCGAGUCGGUGGGCAGCUGCCGGGCGUAAGCCUGAGGAAACUCCGUCCAUAAAGCGGGACUCGCGGACCCGCAAGGGUCUGGUCGAGAGACCGGAUCAUGGCACAGAAACGUUACCGUUCAGCUCGCGUGCGAUGACUCGGAAAACGUCGAGGUCGGGCUGGAUAGGGUGAAACGGCCAAUCCGCGAGAUGCAAGGGCAAAAGACUGUCGAUGAGACUCGCUUGAGAUGGGUGGUAGCCCGCUUAGCUAAAUGCUGCCUAAAAACGGAAGACGGGUUACGACCGACUCGU